rnacentral:lncRNA from 1 species
UCUUAUUAAUGGUCGGAAGAACGUUUCGUCGGUUACAAGAAAAGGAAAGCGUGAAAGAAAAGGUGUCGGAGCCUCGAAGGCUUUACCGGAGAGAUACAACAAGGCGAGAUAACAAAGGUAAAACCCUGAUCUAGCCGCCCAGUGGGUAUCAGUGAUUUUUUGGAUUCUCCCUACGUUGCCUUUCCUUCCCCUUUUAUAGCUGACCUCACCCUCUUCGGUGACCUAGUUUGUGUCGUCUCUGUGGGCUUUAACUCGCUGGGCCGAGAAGCCCACGUUGUCUCGUGGAGUCGUUUCCUCGGGGUGUUUAGUCGAGAAGCCCAUCGAAAGCUCUCUCACAUUACGCCGAGAGAUCGACCCUUCAAGCCGCCGCGUCGAACCGAUGCUCCGCUUCAUAUGGGCCAGGCCGUCUGUUCUUCGGGCCUUGAGGGAUGGUCGAAUUUACCAUCUACAUAUACUUCAAAAAAAUUAGUUGAAAUCCCACUUGGACCAGAAAUAUCCAAAAACGUUCAUGAGAAAGAGACAAAAUUGUACGAAGGGGCAAGUUAUACGUGAGCCUUUUUCUCACUCUAACGCACACGGCACGGCACACGACCAUGAUGAUGUGAAUAUAAAUGUUUCCAAUUAGCGCCUUUAUCCUAAUGGCCGGUGGAGAAAUUAAUAACGGUGCUUUUCACGAUAACAUAGUGCAAAAUCUUAUGAAUAAAAUAAAACUGUAUAUAAAAUUGAUUACUUCUUGUUGUUGUCUCCAUAAUUGACUAAUGCAAUAGUAUAUGGAAGCUUUGGUGGCAAGGGAAAGACUAUUCAAACAAACCAAAUUAUUGGAGCAGGUUUAGAUAUUCAUGGUUAGAUAAAAUGGUUUAGAUUUUUUAAACAGAAACGUUUGAUUCAAAUAUCCGUCUCACUAGCAGUUGAAAUAGAUCACAAUUCUAUGUUGUUAGGAGUCAAUCAUAUAUAAUACAUGCAUUUUGUAAACUGUUUUACGUAAGAAGAAUAUAAUUUACAAAUUUAUAAUACUCAACCAAUAUAGUUAUCGAUCGAAAUGUUUACAUAAGAGAAAAUACGAUUUUAGUGUGAGAAUUUCUAACUAGAAAAUCCGUUCAUAUAGUGCUGAUUUUUUAUUUCUAAAAAUCCGAGUCUUACAUGGAGAUGCAAACGUUCAGAUGGAAGAAACGGCCUUAGAAAUCAUCAAGGCCGCAAAGGAUAAACAAGUCACCUCAAACUACACAGGGCGUUCGGAGAGUAACCCAGCUACUCCACCUCCGGUGCAAGGGUUCUCCAUACAGGUGCUCCUGUUCCCAGAUCCAUCAGUCCUCUACACCCCACCAGUAAGGGAAGAGGAAGACCUUGGAUUUGACUCCUAUUACAGUGAUGUUGCUCCAGCCAGAGUCCAUAACUCUCCAUCAGAUACUAGAGUCGAUACUGCAAGAAUCAAAUCAAUCAUCGUUAGCCCCCUAAUGGAAACGGAAGAAGUACAUCCAAGAGUCCAGGAAACUGCAUUAGUGUGGGAAAAGGAAGAAACACUUAUGGAACUUCAAAACAAAAAGAAACGAAAAUGUCAGAUUUUCGGUUUCCUCCAACCCGGGCUUUUUGGUAGUGCUGAGCUGGAACUGUUGUGCACUGGAGAACCCCAUAACAGUCCAGCGUUUAAAGGAGUCUCCUGAUAUCACCUUCCUGAUGGAAUAAAAAAACACAAAAGAAAUGAUU